rnacentral:rRNA from 1 species
GUGUCAGCAGCCGCGGUAAUACAGAGGGUGCGAGCGUUAAUCGGAAUUACUGGGCGUAAAGCGUACGUAGGUGGCUUUGCAAGUCGAUUGUGAAAUCCCCGGGCUUAACCUGGGAACUGCAGUCGAGACUGCUUUGCUUGAGUAUGGGAGAGGGAGGUGGAAUUUCCGGUGUAGCGGUGAAAUGCGUAGAUAUCGGAAGGAACAUCAGUGGCGAAGGCGACCUCCUGGACCAAUACUGACACUCAAGUACGAAAGCGUGGGGAGCAAACAGGAUUAGAUACCCUGGUAGUCCACGCCAUAAACGAUGAGAACUGGAUGUCGGAGGGGUCUGCCCUUCGGUGUCGUAGCUAACGCGUUAAGUUCUCCGCCUGGGGAGUACGGCCGCAAGGUUGAA